rnacentral:rRNA from 1 species
UGCGCAGUUGUUAGCACCUAAACGGCGAAACUGCGAAUGGCUCAUUAAAUCAGUUAUCGUAUAUUUGAUAGUACCUACUACAUGGAUAACCGUGGUAAUUCUAGAGCUAAUACAUGCUUAAAAUCCCGACUUCGGAAGGGAUGUAUUUAUUAGAUUAAAAACCAAUGCCCUUCGGGGCUCACUGGUGAUUCAUAAUAACUUCUCGAAUCGCAUGGCCUUGUGCCGGCGAUGGUUCAUUCAAAUUUCUGCCCUAUCAACUUUCGACGGCUGGGUCUUGGCCAGCCGUGGUUACAACGGGUAACGGAGGGUUAGGGCUUGACCCCGGAGAAGGAGCCUGAGAAACGGCUACUACAUCCAAGGAAGGCAGCAGGCGCGCAAAUUACCCAAUCCCGACUCGGGGAGGUAGUGACAAUAAAUACUGAUACAGGGCUCUUUUGGGUCUUGUAAUUGGAAUGAGUACAAUUUAAAUCCCUUAACGAGGAACAAUUGGAGGGCAAGUCUGGUGCCAGCAGCCGCGGUAAUUCCAGCUCCAAUAGCGUAUAUUAAAGUUGUUGCAGUUAAAAAGCUCGUAGUUGAACCUUGGGCCUGGCUGGCCGGUCUGCCUCACCGCAUGCACUGGUCCGGCCGGGCCUUUCCCUCUGGGGAUCCGCAUGCCCUUCACUGGGUGUGUCGGGGAACCAGGACUUUUACUGUGAAAAAAUUAGAGUGUUCAAAGCAGGCAUAUGCUCGAAUACAUUAGCAUGGAAUAAUAGAAUAGGAACGUCGCGGUUCUAUUUUGUUGGUUUCUAGGACCGCCGGAAUGAUUAAUAGGGACGUUCUGGGGCAUCUGUA